GUCUCACCAGUAAAAGCAUCAGGCUGUGAGCCUCCCUGGACAGAUGUGGGGACAUGGUGACCAUGCAAAAGAGGACCACUAGAGGGCAGGCCAACAGAGUCCUCAUGGUGACUGGAGACCUUACAGAUAAUGGAAAGACCCUGUCUUGAGCAAACAAAACAACCACAGCCAGCUGACCUUGAGGCACAGGAAGAACUGACUGCAGCUACUCACUCACCUGACACAGCCUGAGGAGAGCCAGAGGGAGUAGAUGGUGAUGGAGAGAAAGUGUUGCUGUGUGGGUCUGAAGGGUAGAUCUGAACAGAAAGGUGAAGGUAAAUCAUACCCUUCCCUGGUUGAACGAUGGGCUGUUCUGCUCUCCUGGGCCCCAGGGACUGGAUCCACUCCUCUCAUCUAUACCUGAAAGACAAAGAACUGGGUUAGGUCUAUAACCACUAAAAGGGAGGAAGACGUGCACGUAUCAAGGGACCAGUGGAACGGCAAUAACAGCAGUGUGUGCUCAUGUGUGUGAACUGAAGGCCCCCGUUUGCCAAAAAUAUCUAAAUAACACUGUUCGUGACACACAACAUGCUGCCACUGCUCACCCCCCGCCAGGAUACCUGAGCAUCUCUCCCAACAGGGGUCAGUCACAUCGCUCUUAAUGAGCAGAAAUGGAGCUACCUUCCUGCGGUGGUUCUAGCCUGCCGUGCUGAAUGCUCAGUGACUGUGUGCAUGGUUAAUUGUCUUGGCUCAAACUCAUAUCCUCAUAUCCUCCCUCAGACUCUCCUAUGUUGAUUUUAUUGGUGCUAUGGCACCAUAUAAGUUGUGUUGUGCUUAUAGUAAAUUCUAAAGGUCAUUAUAAUUAAAGGCUGGCUAAUUUAUUGUUUGACUCUCUACUCUAUUUUAUUUUUGUAUUUUUUAAUGUUUUAACAAGAAAAAGAGAAAAACACAUUUUCAUUUUUAGCUUGUCAUCCCCUCCCCCUUUCUUGCAGAUUGGAAUUCAUUAGCAAUCAAAGAGCCACUGACAAACGCCCAAUUUUAAUUACCCUCUCAUUUGCAUAUUUGCAUAUUAAUGACUGCAGACUUUGCUGUUUUUCUGCUGCUGCUGCAGUCCCCCUCCCAUCAACAUUGCUCAGAAUAAUCUGAGCGUUGCCUCACAGCGCAACUAUGUCUUUCUCACAACUAGUGCUGUCAGACUGGAGUUAAUAGACAUCACUGGGAGACAUUUCAUUAUUACUACGGACAUUGGCUGAACAAAUAAAACCAUUUUUUGUCUUUCAAAAAGAGGAGCAAGGCUUCUAGCACUGCUUUAGUUCACUGUGCCUAAUGUGGUUUUAUUAUUGAACAUGGCACAUUACUCAGGAAGGCUAUGUUUUAAAAUGUUAGGGGUGCUAGAAAUGACAUGAGCCCACAACCUAAUAAGAUGCCCCCUUCUGGUUACUGAGAGAAAAAGUCAAGGCUAAUUAUUUUGUAAGAAAAAUCUGGGCAAUACAGAAUAAUUUUUAAGUGAAUAUAUCUCCAAUUUUUUACAUAUGUCACAAAUAAUUUAUUAUUGCUUUAGUGGAAAGCGCUGAGUGCAAUUGGCUCAAAGGAUAAAAGCUGCUUCUGGCUAAUGGCAUCCAGAUAAACUGAGGACACUGCAACACAGAGCA